CAAUUAUUACAAUUCUAACAUCAGAUGCUAACAACAACAUAACAGAUGAAGAUUCUAAUGUAACCUUCAGCUGUUCUGUUGACAGUCUUCCAUCUUCAGUAAUAUCCUGGUCUAGAUCACAAGGGGAACAACUCUAUUCUGGUAGUCAAUAUACCAUACCUAAAGCUAGUUGUCAACAUACAGAUAACUAUACCUGUACAGCUAGUAAUAAUAUUGGUCCACCUGUAUCUAAAACUAUUCCACUCUAUGUUAGAUGUUCUCCAAGAGAAAAUACAAUAACCAAGAGAAAUAUCACUAAUAGAAUAAAUACAAAAAUAUAUCUGGACGUUGAUAUAAUCGCCUACCCUCGACCAACCUUCACCUGGCACCAUGCACCUACAAGACAGAUAAUAAAUACAGCUAUAACACAACAACUAUCAACUAUAAACUAUAAAUCAACAGUAGAAAUAACUCUAAACUCUACUCUAUUUGGUGAUUAUAUAGUAUCUGUAGACAAUGGUAUUGGUGUUCAGAACUUCACUAUUACAGUUAUUGAUGGAGAAUCACCAACGUCAGUACCGGGUCCUGUCGAAAGUAAUAACACACCUACUAUAGUUGGAAGUAUUAUUGGUGUAUUGAUGGUUAUUGCUACUAUAAUAGUUGUUCUAGUUGUGGUAAUAUACCGUAGAAAGGCAUCAAAAGCUGAUGAUAAUACGUACGAUGGACUUGGAGUUAUCCCCCGUUCAACCAAUCAACCCGUUUAUGAUGAAAUGAAUUCCUCUACAACUAGAUCUAAUGAUACAACAGCACGUGAAGAUUCCUCACCAGCCUACUAUAAUACUACAAACGUGAACCACGGCGAUAUUACUAACACCGCAUACGUCAAUUCCCCGUCAUCGUCGUCGACAUAUGAAGGACUGGAUGUACGAAGUAAUGAAACACAUCCAAACCUUUAUCAACGACUCAAUACAUCACCAACACCUAACAUCUACGAAAACGAGGAUAUGUGAUCAGCUAUCAAAUUUGUUAAUGUUAGUGAUUGUAUGUACAACAUGACCAUUUACUCCGCUCUAUAGAUGUUAAGAAUGUUAUUUUAAUAACACGAACGUUUACUCCGCUCUCUAGAUGAUAAAAAUAUUAUUUUAAUAACAUGAACAUGUUUAGAAUGUUAUUUUAACAAUACCGCUUAGGGAUAUUCAGGAUCUCCAGAGCAAGCGUUUUCACCUCGCUAUAACUGUGGGUUACCAAUACAUCUAACGACAUGGUGUAUACUACGAUACUAUGAUAAUAUUUUUGUUGCUUUUGUCAGUCUUAUCUAAUCGUUUGUAUUUCAAAAUCUGUAACAUUCCAAACCACUGAAUCAAACUGCGAUUGCAGGAUAAAUUGUGUCAUUCCAGUGUAGUUCAACUCUGUACGAGUGUAUCAAUGUAUCAUUGUACAUAUCACUGAAUGGAACUGCUAUCACAGGAUCGGGUGUUU